AUCCAGUUGACGAGUCCUAAAUAGGACGAAAUGCCCAUCCUGGAU
rnacentral:hammerhead_ribozyme from 1 species